UUGAAGUGAUGAUCUUAGAGAACGGUUUCGCUAACUUUACUGACAUUGAGUGAUGUCUUUAUUCUCUUGGCUAUCUGAUCAA